AUGAACGCUAGCUACAGGCUUAACACAUGCAAGUCGAGGGGCAGCAUGAGCUUAGCUUGCUAAGCUUGAUGGCGACCGGCGCACGGGUGAGUAACACGUAUCCAACCUCCCGCUUACUCAGGAAUAGCCUUUCGAAAGAAAGAUUAAUGCCUGAUGGUAUCUUAAGCACACAUGUAAUUAAGAUUAAAGAUUUAUCGGUAAGCGAUGGGGAUGCGUUCCAUUAGGUAGUAGGCGGGGUAACGGCCCACCUAGCCGACGAUGGAUAGGGGUUCUGAGAGGAAGGUCCCCCACAUUGGAACUGAGACACGGUCCAAACUCCUACGGGAGGCAGCAGUGAGGAAUAUUGGUCAAUGGGCGCGAGCCUGAACCAGCCAAGUAGCGUGAAGGAUGAAGGUCCUACGGAUUGUAAACUUCUUUUAUACGGGAAUAAAGUGGCCUACGUGUAGGCUUUUGCAUGUACCGUAUGAAUAAGCAUCGGCUAACUCCGUGCCAGCAGCCGCGGUAAUACGGAGGAUGCGAGCGUUAUCCGGAUUUAUUGGGUUUAAAGGGAGCGUAGACGGGGGAUUAAGUCAGUUGUGAAAGUUUGCGGCUCAACCGUAAAAUUGCAGUUGAUACUGGUUCCCUUGAGUGCAGUUGAGGCAGGCGGAAUUCGUGGUGUAGCGGUGAAAUGCAUAGAUAUCACGAAGAACCCCGAUUGCGAAGGCAGCCUGCUAAGCUGUAACUGACGUUGAGGCUCGAAAGUGUGGGUAUCAAACAGGAUUAGAUACCCUGGUAGUCCACACGGUAAACGAUGGAUACUCGCUGUUGGCGAUAUACUGUCAGCGGCCAAGCGAAAGCAUUAAGUAUCCCACCUGGGGAGUACGCCGGCAACGGUGAAACUCAAAGGAAUUGACGGGGGCCCGCACAAGCAGUGGAGUAUGUGGUUUAAUUCGAAGCAACGCGAAGAACCUUACCAGGCCUUGACAUCCCUUGCAGAGGUAUAGAGAUAUAUCCGAGGUUAUCAAGGAGACAGGUGGUGCAUGGUUGUCGUCAGCUCGUGCCGUGAGGUGUCGGCUUAAGUGCCAUAACGAGCGCAACCCUCGUGGCCAGUUACUAUCAGGUAAGGCUGAGGACUCUGGCCAGACUGCCAUCGUAAGAUGCGAGGAAGGUGGGGAUGACGUCAAAUCAGCACGGCCCUUACGUCCGGGGCUACACACGUGUUACAAUGGGAGGUACAGAAGGCAGCUACCCGGCGACGGGAUGCCAAUCCCGAAAGCCUCUCUCAGUUCGGACUGGAGUCUGCAACCCGACUCCACGAAGCUGGAUUCGCUAGUAAUCGCGCAUCAGCCACGGCGCGGUGAAUACGUUCCCGGGCCUUGUACACACCGCCCGUCAAGCCAUGAAAGCCGGGGGUACCUGAAGUGCGUAACCGCAAGGAGCGCCCUAGGGUAAAACCGGUAAUUGGGGCU
rnacentral:rRNA from 1 species